rnacentral:tRNA from 1 species
UAGCUCAGUUGGUAGAGCACCUGACUUUUAAUCAGGGUGUCGAAGGUUCGAGUCCUU